CAAGGUGGUCGUGGGGGCCGUUCAAGCGGCCAGGCAGACCUGGUGGGUCGCGGGGGCUAUCGCCGGCCGUCCCACGGGCAAGGUGGGCACAGGGGUCGAUCUGUACGUGGCCGUCAUGGGAGCUAUGGCCUGGGUGCUGGCGUCGCUGGUGGGCACCGAAGCAACUUUGGGUAUGCAGGUUCCAAUCCUGGAAGUCGAGAUCAGUUCAGAGGAGGCUUCCAGGGGAACAGAGGCUCUCGUACUCCGGUUAACCUGUCAGCGGCGGCUGUGCCGGACCCAUCUGCAUCUUCUACUGGUAUGAUUGCACAAGCUGUUGCAUUGCUAAGCCAUGCGAUCGGGC
rnacentral:misc_RNA from 1 species